ACCGGAGCAGAAGUCCCCUGCGGCCUGUGGUGAGGACCAUGGUGAAGCAGGCUGUCCCCCUGCAGCCCAUGGAGUACCACAGUGGAGCAGGGUUCCACGCUACAGCCCAUGGAGAAGACCACGGUAGAGCAGGUGGACCUGCACCGACAGAGACUGCAGUCUGUGGAAGACCCCUGAUGGAGCAGAUUCCGGGCCGGACCUGUAGCUGCAGCCGUGGAGAGGAGGCCACGCAGGAGCAGGAUUCUCAUGAUU